UACGAAGGGGGCUAGCGUUGCUCGGAAUCACUGGGCGUAAAGCGCACGUAGGCGGCUUUUUAAGUCAGGGGUGAAAUCCUGGAGCUCAACUCCAGAACUGCCUUUGAUACUGGGAAGCUCGAGUCCGGGAGAGGUGAGUGGAACUCCGAGUGUAGAGGUGAAAUUCGUAGAUAUUCGGAAGAACACCAGUGGCGAAGGCGGCUCACUGGCCCGGUACUGACGCUGAGGCGCGAAAGCGUGGGGAGCAAACAGG
rnacentral:rRNA from 1 species